CUGCAGAGGUUGAUGCCAGAGUUCCUGCUCUCCGUCUCCCCCGUAUAAAAGCUAGUGGGACUCUUUUGCUCAAGUGCACGUCGUCUCUUUUUGCAUUAUUGUGCGUUUUGUUCUUUAUUCCUAGAGGCUGCCAAAAAAGGAUCGGAAGCAACGUCAUCCUGUCGACAGCAUGAUUGUUCUUGGGGAGAUGCUUGUUUUGAAUCUUAUGUUGGUCAGCGCGUGCAGUGGCAUCUGUAGCUUCGGUAGAGAUCGAGGAAGAGCCAGAUAGUCUAAAGGCAAAAGGAAAUGGCUCAAUAGAAGACAGCGGUGCACAAUCUUCAUGUCCCAUGCUGGAACAUGACCCAUAGUUGCCGUGUUAGACAAGAGGCCUGGCUUGUUAUCAUGCUGUACAUAUUAAUGUUUGCUUUUUUUUUUCCUUUUGUCGACGGUCCAAAUGGCUUCUAGGACUCGUAACUGGUCAAGUGUUUUAGCAUACGGUGUUCACAAGAUUAGUUUCCAUUGCUGAGCCGUGGACAUAAGAGUUCAUGUCUCGAUUUAUAAGAUUUUAUAGGGUUUUCAUGUCUUGAUUUA